UUCUCCUCCCGCCUUC
rnacentral:miRNA from 1 species